AGUGAACGCUGGCGGCAGGCCUAACACAUGCAAGUCGAACGGCAGCACAGUAAGUGCUAGCUGGUACGGGUGGGGAGUGGCGGACGGGUGAGAAAUACACCGGAAUCUACUUUUUCGUGGGGGCGAACGUAGCGAAACUUACACUACUAACGAAUACGACCUAAAAGUGAGGGCAGGGGAUCCUCCGACCUUGCGGGUUUGACUGUGCCGAUGUCGGAUUAGCUAGUUGGAGGGGUAAAGGCCCACCAAGGCGACGAUCCGUAGCUGGUCUGAGAGGAUGAUCAGCCACACUGGAACUGAGACACGGUCCAGACUCCUACGGGAGGCAGCAGUGGGGAAUAUUGGACAAUGGGCGCAGGCCUGAUCCAGCCAUACCGCGUGUGUGAAGAAGGCCUUCGGGUUGUAAAGCACUUUUGUUCGGAAAGAAAUGCUGCGGGUUAAUACGGUGCUGGUAUGACGGUACCCGAAGAAUAAGCACCGGCUAACUUCGUG
rnacentral:rRNA from 1 species